CAGUAGCCGCGGGAAUACAGAGGGUGCGAGCGUUAAUCGGAUUUACUGGGCGUAAAGCGUGCGUAGGCGGCUUUUUAAGUCGGAUGUGAAAUCCCUGAGCUUAACUUAGGAAUUGCAUUCGAUACUGGGAAGCUAGAGUAUGGGAGAGGAUGGUAGAAUUCCAGGUGUAGCGGUGAAAUGCGUAGAGAUCUGGAGGAAUACCGAUGGCGAAGGCAGCCAUCUGGCCUAAUACUGACGCUGAGGUACAAAAGCAUGGGGAGCAAACAGGAUUAGAUACCCCUGUAGUCCCUGUCUCUUAUAC
rnacentral:rRNA from 1 species